rnacentral:rRNA from 1 species
AUUGAACGCUGGCGGCAGGCCUAACACAUGCAAGUCGAGCGAGCGGCGGACGGGUGAGUAAUGUAUGGGGAACUGCCCGAUGGAGGGGGAUAACUACUGGAAACGGUGGCUAAUACCGCAUACCAUCGGAUGAACCCAAAGGGGAUUAGCUAGUAGGUGGGGUAAAGGCUCACCUGGGCGACGAUCCCUAGCUGGUCUGAGCGGAGGACCAGCCACACUGGGACGGAGACACGGCCCAGACUCCUACGGGAGGAAGCAGUGGGGAAUAUUGCACAAUGGGCGCAAGCCUGAUGCAGCCAUGCCGCGUGUAUGAAGAAGGCCUUAGGGUUGUAAAGUACUUUCAGCGGGGAGGCGUUACACGCAGAAGAAGCACCGGCUAACUCCGUGCCAGCAGCCGCGGUAAUUC